GGGCCGGGACCGCUCGGCAGGGAGGGCGAGGAGUUGAUGAAAAGCGAGCUGCAGGAGGAGCAGCGGGGCUGGUUUUCACACCUGCUAGUGGGCAGCCCCUCUCCUGGCCUCCCCAGGGCUGUGGCACGCAAGGGCCUUGCUUGCUGCCUGAAGCAGGCGGCCCGCGGUGCCGGCACACGCUGCUGACACCUCGUCCUGCCGUGGGGCUGGCAUGACACCUGAGGCCAGGACAGAGAGGGUGCGGCUGGAUUUCAAGACUACAAUAAGAGCUCUUUAUGGGCAUGAAAUUACCAGUCUGCAAUACUGGCAAACCGUUGCCUUUUCCAGGAAAGCUGCUUUGUAGUGCCGCCAGAAAGCUGUCCCUUCAGCGUCUCGCAAGCUACGCCGGCAGCAGUGCAUCGUGUAGCUCGGACCAGAGGCUACUACAGGACUCCUCCCACAGCCAGGGAGAGACCGUGACAUAAAGGAAGGCUGAAGUUCUGGGCAUGCUGAUGGACUCAGCAAAGCAGAACCAGCUCUGCUUUGGAGCUCCUCACCGUGAUGGUAAAUGUGUGAGCCCUCCCGUAACUCAACAUGGAUGUCACAGUCAUUCUUUCUAGAUGUGGCCAUCAUGUGUGAAAAUCACCCUGAAUCUAUCUGGGGGACUUAAAUGGAAUUGAAGGUCUGGUGAGAAGCUGCUUUACGGAUCUGCCCUUUCUGGGGAGAAGCUCAGGCUGUGGCACCAAACAUCUGCCCAUGGAUGUACAAGGCACUGUCCAUGACACAGAGGGUAUUUGUUUUUCCAUGUUGCACAGCUAAGUCUCCUGAGAUGCACAGUUUUAUUUCAGUGCUUUGACAAAGUAGCUGGAUCGUCAUCAAGCAGAAGCUAAUGACUCACAAUUACACUAUAGUCUGAAAGAAAAGUUGUUUUGUACUCAAAUAUGUGAAACGCAGGGGAUUUGUAAGCUGCUAGCCAAAUUCUCAGCUGGGCAGCACUGAAAUCUAUACAACCACAUGGAUUUACACCAAUGUUGUCUCACUACUGUCUCCUCAGAGCAUUUCUCUACAGACAAAGGCUCACUAAGAACUUCCCAUGCUAAAUUUUUUAAUUCCUCAACCAGCCUCCCAACCUUCAUGGAGCAAAUUCUGACUUCCAGCACCACCCUCAAAGCCCUGGUGCUUGCUCCAUGCCGUCACAUGCUCUAUGCUGGCACGGUCGUGCCCUAAGAUGCUUCAAGCCACCUGUCUCCAGCCUUGUGUUUCACUGGUGUCCACAACCUCCUCCACCUGUGCUCCAAGGCCACCACACCAUGGUCCAAACCCUAAACCCUAUCCAGUCACCCAUGGCUCAUCUUCUAAGUCCCCUCCAUAUAAACCCUGCUAAGGGCAUGCUUCCAUUGCUAUAAGGGACCUUGCUGAUUUGGGGGUAAGUUUUCCAUAAAUUGCUUAUUGAUGUUUUCUUCCCCAACUUCUGUCCUUGGAUUAUGGACUCUCUGGAGUGAAGGGUAAACACUUAAGUGUCCAAAAAUCACCAGCCACAGUAGGUGUUACAGCAAACUUUCAUAAUAAUAACAGCAAUGAUAAUUGUAUCAAUAAUUACAUCAUUUGUUGCUACUGUUAUUCCUUCUCCCAUUCCUACAGCACUUGACAUAUAUGGGCUCCAGGCAGCUUCUGAGCAUCAAGAAAAAUUUUCAGGUGAUGCAGAAUACAAAGAACAGAGAAAACAGCUUUAUACUAUUACCCAUACAUAUGUAGCUAAUGUGAUUAUAUAUUAUUGCAUAGUGAUCUAAAUUAUUUUGCUGAACAUUCUGAUUUGUUGCUUUUCAGCUUAUAGAAUGAUGAUAGCGUGUAGUAAAAUAUCAUAAAUUUGUUUCUACACACAAGUAGAUUUUUUUUUCAUUUUUUUGCUUAAGAAAGAAAAUAUUGUAAAAAAUAUUUGCAGAAGAGAGGGGCCAUCUUCCCUGGGAGAACAUAACAGAAUCAUCACUGAGUCUAAAGGAGAAUUUCAUUCUCCUCUAAAUCAUUUGCUUUUGGUACAUUUUCUUCAUAUUUAGUAGCUGGAUGCAAUUCCCUCUAUAUGUACUAAGUCUGUGUUAUUGCAAUUCCAGCAUGAUAUAUGUUUAUUUGGAGUCUAACAAGAUAAUGAAUCAGGAAAUGGCACUGCACUUUAUAUUAUGUAUUUAUUUAUUGUGUUAGGAUGAAAUUUACCUGGGUCCAGAGAACAAAAUUAGGCUGUUACAGCCCUUGGUUUCAUAUAAGUUAUUUUCCUCUCAAUGCCUAUGCCCCGUGGACAGAAAUUUAUUUUAUCUAUACUGAAUGAGAAUUCUCCUAUUCUCUCUUCGCUAAGGUAGCCUCCAGAUAUGAUUUCUAUACCUUUUCUCAUGCUUCUAAUUUUGUAUACAUUACUUGAAUGCUUGAAAAUAUGAAAUAUACUACCAACAAUAAUAGAGUGAUAAAAUCUGCAGUUUGUAGGGAAUAUUUUUGUUCCUAUUAAAUCCUUUUGUAACUACAAAGACCUACUCAUUAGUUUGAUGUCUUUGGUGAUAUUAUCAUACUUCUGAUCAUAACCUUUGUGCUGAAUUCUAGGGGCUGGAUGGCCAUUAGAAAGAAGGACUGUUCUGCAGACAGUUUAUGGGAUUCAGAUUUGGAAGAUCUCAGUUCUUCUCUAAAGUGUGACACUGCAGAGCAUUGAAAGACGACCUUAAUUGGAAGGUGUAUGAGUACAUGUAAAUAUAGGGGAAGUGAAGUGGAAAAUUACACUACAGCAUAUAAGAGAAUUCAAUGUAUUUAAUAAUACAACAGUAGUUAUCUGUAAUAAUACUAAAAAUAUCACAGAAAAACAUAAUGAGAACUUUGUUAAGUGUCCAAACGUGUUCUGAUUGAUGUAUUUAAUAACUUUGCAAGAAUUUAAGUCUCAAAGACUUUUAAUUUCUGUGAGAUUAGAU